GACGAACGCUGGCGGCGUGCUUAACACAUGCAAGUCGAACGGAAAGGCCCUGCUUUUGUGGGGUGCUCGAGUGGCGAACGGGUGAGUAACACGUGAGUAACCUGCCCUUGACUUUGGGAUAACUUCAGGAAACUGGGGCUAAUACCGGAUAGGAGCUCCUGCUGCAUGGUGGGGGUUGGAAAGUUUCGGCGGUUGGGGAUGGACUCGCGGCUUAUCAGCUUGUUGGUGGGGUAGUGGCUUACCAAGGCUUUGACGGGUAGCCGGCCUGAGAGGGUGACCGGCCACAUUGGGACUGAGAUACGGCCCAGACUCCUACGGGAGGCAGCAGCGGGGAAUAUUGCACAAUGGGCGGAAGCCUGAUGCAGCAACGCCGCGUGCGGGAUGACGGCCUUCGGGGUGUAAACCGCUUUCGCCUGUGACGAAGCGUGAGUGACGGUAAUGGGUAAAGAAGCACCGGCUAACUACGUG
rnacentral:rRNA from 1 species